AUCCGGGCUUUUGCCCGGUGCACUCUUCGGUAGGCAGGCCAGCAUCAGUUUGGGCGGUGGGACAAAGGUCUCUGUCACGUACCUCCUCUCGGGGAGGCCUUAUAGGGGAGACGCCAUGCCACCAGCCUGGACUGAGGUCCGCGCAUCUGCUAGGAUGCUGGCGUAAUGGCUGUAAGCGGCCCGUCUUGAAACACGGACCAAGGAGUCUAACAUCUAUGCGAGUGUUUGGGUGUCAAGCCCAAGCGCGCAAUGAAAGUGAACGGAGGUGGGACCCCGCAAGGGUGCACCAUCGACCGAUCCUGAUGUCUUCGGAUGGAUUUGAGUAAGAGCAUGGCUGUUGGGACCCGAAAGAUGGUGAACUAUGCUUGAAUAGGGUGAAGCCAGAGGAAACUCUGGUGGAGGCUCGCAGCGGUUCUGACGUGCAAAUCGAUCGUCAAAUUUGGGCAUAGGGGCGAAAGACUAAUCGAACUAUCUAGUAGCUGGUUCCUGCCGAAGUUUCCCUCAGGAUAGCAGUAACGUAUUCAGUUUUAUGAGGUAAAGCGAAUGAUUAGAGGCCUGGGGGUUGAAACAACCUUCACCUAUUCUCAAACUUUAAAUAUGUAAGAAGUCCUUGUUGCUUAAUUGAACGUGGACACUUGAAUGUACCGUUACUAGUGGGCCAUUUUUGGUAAGCAGAACUGGCGAUGCGGGAUGAACCGAACGCGGGGUUAAGGUGCCGGAAUGCACGCUCAUCAGACACCACAAAAGGUGUUGGUUCAUCUAG
rnacentral:rRNA from 1 species